CUUGAUAUUUGACGCUAGCAAACUAAAUUACUUCACACUUUUGUUUGGCAGAGUGACAAUUCGAAUCAAUCAUAAUUACAAGUGUCGCACGAAGCUAUUCAAUGUUCAUAGAAUUGUCCCCUAUUUCUCGGUCGCUUUUUAACAUUUUCUUAAAAAAGUUGCUGGAAUUGAGAGAUAUAUCAUUACUUAAUAUAAAUCUAUAAAAAAAAUGUUUUGGACAAAAUCAGAGUCUCAUCAUAUAAUGUAACCUUAAUUAUUCCACCCGGAAUGCAUCUUUACAGACAGAAAGACAGACACAAAUCGAGA